rnacentral:rRNA from 1 species
CCUACGGGUGGCAGCAGUGAGGAAUAUUGGUCAAUGGGCUUACGCCUGAACCAGCCAAGUCGCGUGAGGGCAGACUGCCCUAUGGGUUGUAAACCUCUUUUGUCAGGGAGCAACGCCGGCUACGUGUAGCCGGACUGAGAGUACCUGAAGAAAAAGCAUCGACUAACUCCGUGCCAGCAGCCGCGGUAAUACGGAGGAUGCGAGCGUUAUCCGGAUUUAUUGGGUUUAAAGGGUGCGUAGGCGGAAUGCCAAGUCAGCGGUAAAAUCGCGGGGCUCAACCUCGCUCCGCCGUUGAAACUGGCGUUGUUGAGUGGGCGAGAAGUAUGCGGAAUGCGUGGUGUAGCGGUGAAAUGCAUAGAUAUCACGCAGAACUCCGAUUGCGAAGGCAGCAUACCGGCGCCCGACUGACGCUGAGGCACGAAAGCGUGGGGAUCGAACAGGAUUAGAUACCCUUGUAGUC